rnacentral:rRNA from 1 species
UGGGGAAUAUUGAACAAUGGGGGGAACUCUGUUCCAGCGACGCCGCGGCAACGAAGAAGCCUUUCGCGUCGUAACGUCCUUUUAAAUGGUAAGAUAAUAUCGGUCCCUUAAUAAAAAGCCCCGGCCACCUACAUCCCACCAGCCGCGGUAAUACGUAGGGGGCUAGCGUUGUCCGGAAUCACUGGGCGUAAAGGGUUCGCAGGCGGAAAUGCAAGUCAGGUGUAAAAGGCAGUAGCUUAACUACUGUAAGCAUUUGAAACUGCAUAUCUUGAGAAGAGUAGAGGUAAGUGGAAUUUUUAGUGUAGCGGUGAAAUGCGUAGAUAUUAAAAAGAAUACCGGUGGCGAAGGCGACUUACUGGGCUCAUUCUGACGCUGAGGAACGAAAGCGUGGGUAGCAAACAGG